UACGGGAGGCAGCAGUGGGGAAUAUUGCACAAUGGGCGCAAGCCUGAUGCAGCCAUGCCGCGUGUAUGAAAAAGGCCUUCGGGUUGUAAAGUACUUUCAGUCGUGAGGAAGGUGUUAAGGUUAAUAACCUUAGCAAUUGACGUUAGCGACAGAAGAAGCACCGGCUAACUCCGUGCCAGCAGCCGCGGUAAUACGGAGGGUGCGAGCGUUAAUCGGAAUUACUGGGCGUAAAGGGCACGCAGGCGGUUAAUUAAGUUGGAUGUGAAAUCCCCGGGCUUAACCUGGGAAUGGCAUUCAAGACUGGUUAGCUAGAGUCUUGUAGAGGGGGUAGAAUUCCAUGUGUAGCGGUGAAAUGCGUAGAGAUGUGGAGGAAUACCGGUGGCGAAGGCGGCCCCUGGACAAAGACUGACGCUCAUGUGCGAAAGCGUGGGGAGCGAAAACAGGGAUUAGAUA
rnacentral:rRNA from 1 species